GAUGAACGCCGGCGGCGUGCCUAAUACAUGCAAGUCGAGCGAAUGGAUUAAGAGCUUGCUCUUAUGAAGUUAGCGGCGGACGGGUGAGUAACACGUGGGUAACCUGCCCAUAAGACUGGGAUAACUCCGGGAAACCGGGGCUAAUACCGGAUAACAUUUUGAACCGCAUGGUUCGAAAUUGAAAGGCGGCUUCGGCUGUCACUUAUGGAUGGACCCGCGUCGAAUUAGCUAGUUGGUGAGGUAACGGCUCACCAAGGCAACGAUGCGUAGCCGACCUGAGAGGGUGAUCGGCCACACUGGGACUGAGACACGGCCCAGACUCCUACGGGAGGCAGCAGUAGGGAAUCUUCCGCAAUGAACGAAAGUCUGACGGAGCAACGCCGCGUGAGUGAUGAAGGCUUUCGGGUCGUAAAACUCUGUUGUUAGGGAAGAACAAGUGCUAGUUGAAUAAGCUGGCACCUUGACGGUACCUAACCAGAAAGCCACGGCUAACUACGUGCCAGCCGCCGCCGUAA
rnacentral:rRNA from 1 species